UAUUGUUUUGAAAAUUUAUAAUCUUAUAUACUACAAUAAUUAAUAACAUAUUAGAUUUUUUUAUGUGUAUGAUGUGAUUCAAUUUUUAAUACAAGCUGGAAAAUCCUAGAAUUGACGGGUUUAGAUCGAUAUUAAUACAAGAUGGUAUACUACAGGUGAAACUCUAAAAUUAACAAUCAAAAUACAAGUGUAUAAUUUUAAACACUAAACAAUAUAAAUAAUAUCAACAAAACAUAUACAACUCGUAGUUUAUUAUACAUUUAAAAUCAAAUAAAAUAAUAUCGUAUAUUUAUAAUCAUCUUUACAAUAAAAGUUUUUAGUUUAACUAAAAUAUAAGCUUACAUGCGGUAUACUGCAAGUUAAAAUUAUAAAUAAGCAAAUUACCAUCACGAUGUUUGUACCUUCUCACAUACACACCUAUCAAAAACUUAAAACCUUUCAAGACCUCUUGGUAUAUUCAAAUUAGGAUUUCUUCAUUCAUGGAAUCAUUCUUCCAAGGGUUUUAGGAUGUCCCAUGAAAUGAUUUUGGCAGAAGAGGAUGUAAAACUUUUCGAAUAAAACGUAGACAGCAAAACAUAUGUUUUUUUGGGAGUUUUUAGAUAAUUAAAUCAGAGAAUGGGGCUGGGCAUAUGAGUAACCUAUUCAAGUUCGGGUAGAACCCGUUCGGGUAGAACCCGUUCGGGUUUGGGAUUAAUGGGUAUAUGAUUUACUACCCAAUAGAAUAAUUCUAAAUAUUUGGUUCUGGUUCGGGUCGGGUCCAUUUGGGUUUGCGUCAGUUUGGAUAAAAAGUUUCAGGCCCUAAAAAUACCCAAAAAAAUUGAAACGGGUAUUUUGUAUGUAGAUAGUGGGUCUCCAAACAAAAA
rnacentral:sRNA from 1 species